UACGUAGGGGGCAAGCGUUAUCCGGAUUUACUGGGUGUAAAGGGAGCGUAGACGGCGAUGCAAGCCAGAUGUGAAAGCCCGGGGCUCAACCCCGGGACUGCAUUUGGAACUGUAUAGCUAGAGUGUCGGAGAGGCAGGCGGAAUUCCUAGUGUAGCGGUGAAAUGCGUAGAUAUUAGGAGGAACACCAGUGGCGAAGGCGGCCUGCUGGACGAUGACUGACGUUGAGGCUCGAAAGCGUGGGGAGCAAACAGG
rnacentral:rRNA from 1 species